UGGGGAAUCUUGCGCAAUGGGCGAAAGCCUGACGCAGCGACGCCGCGUGAGUGAUGAAGGCCUUCGGGUUGUAAAGCUCUGUGGAGAGGGACGAAUAAGGGUUGGCGAAUAACCAGCUCGAUGACGGUACCUCUUUAGCAAGCACCGGCUAACUCUGUGCCAGCAGCCGCGGUAAGACAGAGGGUGCAAACGUUGUUCGGAAUUACUGGGCGUAAAGCGCGUGUAGGCGGCUCGGCAAGUCGGGUGUGAAAGCCCUGGGCUCAACCCAGGAAGUGCACUCGAAACUGCCGGGCUUGAGUCCCGGAGAGGAAGGCGGAAUUCUCGGUGUAGAGGUGAAAUUCGUAGAUAUCGAGAGGAACACCGGUGGCGAAGGCGGCCUUCUGGACGGUGACUGACGCUGAGACGCGAAAGCGUGGGGAGCAAACAGG
rnacentral:rRNA from 1 species